CUUGGUGUAGUGGUGCUUGGGCUUCGCUGUGGUCUUGGCCUGGAAGCAAGGAGCCGUGACGAGGGCCACCGCAACCACCGCGAAAAGCACCGAGUGACAGCUGACGAUCGUCAUGGUUACCUGGGAUCUGAUGGGAGAGCACUUUAAAAACGCCCGACUCCUGAAAAAGGCCAGUAAGACACCAAAAGCAGUGGCUGGAGAUACGAGCAAGUGCCCCGUCUCUCGCUGAUGUCCCCGCCAGCGGCCGAGGGACAACGGCCACCCCCACCAAUCAGAGUAUCUGUCCGGGCAUGGGGGAGGUCUGAAACCCAACUACAUGCUAAUCUACGGCACACUGGAGCCAACCCAAGCAGAACCGCUGUUCUGUGCCCUGUUCUCUGUAACCCUCUUGUGUAGAAAGGUGCUUUUGUGACAGGGGAUACAGCGCCGGCCAGAAGCGGUCCCCCACCCCCGAUGUGGGCCGGACUGGGACCAAAGGACGCGGGGCGGCGGGUCACAUGAUACGGGAGCUACUCCUCUGACAUCCCCCCCCCCCUCCCCCCCCGCCCCACUCCGGCUAGAGCUGGACAGGAGCCGAGCUGGACACCUAAACAGCCCUGCUGUGAUGGUGAACCCCGUCGUUCUCCACUCACCCUGUUAUGAGUGUUAAAGUACGACAUCCCAGCUGGCGCCCUGCGUUGUCUCCGGGCGCCGUCCGCGACGUCUAUCCACCGCUGGAAACCACUUCAUUAAAAAGUCGACCUGUAAAUGAGAUGACUGCACCGGGAAACUCUAUCAUCGCCAUCUUCUUGGUGGACGUCCAAGAGAGAGCCUGAUAAUCUCCUCACUCAACAGUUGGUAAACCUGAGCUUUUGUGCAAAAAGGAAACAGCUUAUCUCCCUUUUCUCUGGUGCAGUGGAAGUGCCCGUCUGACCACUGGGGUUCACUGACUCCUUCGACGCCCUCACGAAACGGCGGCUAAAGUUGCCGUCGCAAACUAUAAAUGACACCGCGCUGAGGGAUCGGAGGGAUUCCGGUGCGUGGACAUGCAGGCUGCGUUGUCGGAGCAGGAAGUGGUUGAUAAGUAUAUCUAAGCAGUGCCACACUAGAGGGCAUGCCCGGGCCAUCAAAGACCUCCAGCCCCACGAGGGGUCCUCGGAUGGCUUGGAAGCAAACAGGAGCAGCAAAGUAAUGAAAUAGAGGAUCAGUCGGAGGAGGUGGCCUGGGGAGGGGGGGGGAAGGGAGCUGGUUUUAUACUAUUUCUUUUUACUUUUAGGACUAUAUAUCCUACUGCUUUAGUCUUACUUUUAUACAACACUCGGUUGGAUGGAGUCCCUUUUUCAGCCACCUCUCCAUCAGAGUGAAUCAUUGUUUCCACGAAAUAUCAGAGCACAUUGUAAUGUUGAGGAGUAAAAGUUGUCAGGCGGAAGGUGAUUAUAAUUUAAAUUAUAACAAAAGCAAGAUGUCGAUUUGCCAUUCAAAAGCCUUUUGUAGAUUGUUACAGUAAUAAAUCAUUUCACCAACACGUAUCCGCGUGCUGCUUUCCUUCAAGGUGUCUACGGCACACAACGCACCCAUCAGUAGCCUAGUCAAUGCACCUGUGUCCUGUGAACACAGGUCGUUACAGUGCUCUGCCACUAGGGGCAUAUCAAGUUUCUAGAAACACAGCAGAACCUUGAGUGACAUUGUCGUUAAAAGCGUUGCUAUGUUUCUUUGACCAAAACAACGUUCGCUCAGAGGGAAUAAUUCAAAAUCAUUCUAUCAUUGUUUUGAGCCUAAGGACAACUCUGGUGCGAUGCAUCAAAUAUUACAUUUAUAUUUUAAUCGCACAUUUAUAAACAAAAUAUACCCAAAUAAAUUUGAAAUUGAAUUGAAUUUCCCUCCUACUGGCCAUCCGAAACUCUGACACACUGUUCAUUCAAAAGUCAACUUAAAACCUAUCUCUUCAGGACCUCCUACAACAUUUGACAAAUCAUCCUCCGCCAUCUUCCAAUCUCCCCCUCUCUCUUAAUGUGUCGC